rnacentral:lncRNA from 1 species
CCUUGAAUGAUUUUGUAGCAUCAUGCAUGGGUUCCCUGAGCUAUGUGGAUCUUCCAAAUGUUUAUCCAUUUUAUUACAUGAUAACCCAAACCCCCACUUUUGUCAACAUUCUCACUGACCUCAUCAAAAAGCAUUUAAGAUUGGAAAGACGUUAAGCUCACUAUGAUACACAGUUUUCAAAUUUUAAAUUUAAAUUUUAAUUAAAUUUAAAUGUGGGUAGUGAGGAAUGCAAUGGCCACCCAUACAGGUUCAUACCGCUGCACUGGUUUGUGCUAAGGCACCAGCAAUUUCCCCCAACAUUCCUUGUGUGCCAUCAGUACAAAUGUCCGUGCAGUGAACUGGUUCCAGGCAAGAUGGCCGAAUAGAAACAGCUCCAGUCUGCAGCUCCCAGCAAGACCAACACAGAAGGCAGGUGAUUUUGCAUUUCCAACUGAGGUGCCUGGUUCAUCUCACUGGGUGCAGCCCACGGAGGGUGAGCCGAAGCAGGGUGGCGGCAUCGCCUCACCUGGGAAGUGCAAGGGAUCUGGGAACUCCCUCUUCUAGCCAAAGGAAGCUGUGAGAGACUGUGCAGUGAGGGAAGGUGCUAUCUGGCCCAGAUUCUAUGCAUUUCCCACGGUUUUUGCAACUUGCAGACCAGGAGAUUCCCUGGGGUCCCUACACCACCAGGGCCCUGGGUUUCAAGCACAAAACUGGGCGGCCAUUUGAGCAGACACCAAGCUAGCUGCAGGAGUUUUUCUUCAUACCCCAGUGGUGCCUGGAACCCCAGUGAGACAGAACUGUUCACUCACCUGGAAAGGGGCUGAGACCAGAAAGCCAAGUGGUCUUGCUCAGCAGGUCCCAGCCCCACGGAGCCCAGCAAGCUAAGAUCCACUGGCUGGAAAUUUCUCGUUGCCGGAUAUCCUUUUCAGCAACUGAUGCUGUUGCCUUCUUGAUUUCUUUCUUAUCUAGUUCAUUAUUGGUGUAUAGAAAGGCUACUGAUUUUAUAUGUUGAUUUUGUAUCCUGCAACUUUAUUUAAUUUAUUUAUCAGAUUUAAGAGUUUCUUGAUGGAACCUUUAGGUUUUUGUCGAUAUAAGAUUCUAUCAUCAGCAAAGAGGGACAAUUUGACUUCUUCUUUUCCAGUUUGAAUGGCUUUUAUUUCUUUCUCUUGCGUGACUGUUCUGG